rnacentral:rRNA from 1 species
GAUGAACGCUGGCGGCGUGCCUAAUACAUGCAAGUCGAGCGAACAGAUGAGGAGCUUGCUCCUCUGACGUUAGCGGCGGACGGGUGAGUAACACGUGGAUAACCUACCUAUAAGACUGGGAUAACUUCGGGAAACCGGAGCUAAUACCGGAUAAUAUAUUGAACCGCAUGGUUCAAUAGUGAAAGACGGUUUUGCUGUCACUUAUAGAUGGAUCCGCGCCGCAUUAGCUAGUUGGUAAGGUAACGGCUUACCAAGGCAACGAUGCGUAGCCGACCUGAGAGGGUGAUCGGCCACACUGGAACUGAGACACGGUCCAGACUCCUACGGGAGGCAGCAGUAGGGAAUCUUCCGCAAUGGGCGAAAGCCUGACGGAGCAACGCCGCGGGAGUGAUGAAGGUCUUCGGAUCGUAAAACUCUGUUAUUAGGGAAGAACAAAUGUGUAAGUAACUAUGCACGUCUUGACGGUACCUAAUCAGAAAACCACGGCUAACUACGU